UGCCAGACUCCUACGGGAGGCAGCAGUGGGGGAUAUUGCACAAUGGGGGGAACCCUGAUGCAGCGACGCCGCGUGGGUGAAGAAGCGCCUCGGCGCGUAAAGCCCUGUCAGCAGGGAAGAAAAUGACGGUACCUGAAGAAGAAGCCCCGGCUAACUACGUGCCAGCAGCCGCGGUAAUACGUAGGGGGCAAGCGUUAUCCGGAUUUACUGGGUGUAAAGGGGGCGCAGACGGCGAUGCAAGCCAGGAGUGAAAGCCCGGGGCCCAACCCCGGGACUGCUCUUGGAACUGCGUGGCUGGAGUGCAGGAGGGGCAGGCGGAAUUCCUGGUGUAGCGGUGAAAUGCGUAGAUAUUAGGAGGAACACCAGUGGCGAAGGCGGCCUACUGGACGGUGACUGACGCUGAGGCUCGAAAGCGUGGGGAGCAAACAGGAUUAGAUACCCUUGUAA
rnacentral:rRNA from 1 species